AAGGAAUACUAAAAGGUAAUUACCUACAAAACUAACACACCCGUUUCGCAACAAAGAUUGUCCUAUGUUCUUUUUCAUACUUAACAAAUUAUUUUUGAUCCUUAAAAUUUGAAUUUUUUGGUGCAAAUUUAAUUAGUCGGACCUCAAAAUGAUUCUCAAAUGUUAGAUGGCAAAAGAAAAAAAGCUAUGAAAACACAAAUAUCUUUACCAAGUCUUACGAGUUUACCAUAAUUUUUCAAACUAUAGAAGUCAUAGGUCAAAAAAUGAGUAGAUUAAAGCUAAUAGUCUCGAAUAAGAUACUAAUUACUUGUAACUUUUCCAGUACACGUGUUAGGAAACACAAAUACAACAUUUUGAACAAGACCAUAACUUAAUUAUAUAUACCAAAUUAAAUAGGCACAUUCUCUAUACUUUCUUGUUCAAUAAUAAUUAAGGAUUAAUUUAAGUGUGAAAGAUUUGCACGAUACAUCCAACCCUAGAUAUAAGAAGAGAAAAGCUAAGUUAGGUGUCCAAAUCUGGAAGUAGCAAUUAGAGAAUUAAUCACGCAAUUGGAAGGAAGUAAAAAGGAAUAAAUUAAUUGAGCAAAGAAUAGAGAGGCUUGGUUCCAGAAGAUCACAUGGGAACAGAUUCUUGAUGUUUUGAGCAAUUAUUUGGAUGUACCAAUCAAAAAUUUCAUAUAUUUGGCAGGACACUAUAUUUUGAAAUGCAAUUAUUCCCAUCCAUGAGGUUGCUUUGCUACAUAUAUUAAAAUAGAACACCAUUCUUGAGUUAUAUUUGUCUUGUCAUUAGAUGCAUAAUCUCUGGUUCAACACAGUUUCCUAUUUUACCUGUAUUUUGUCACUAAAGAGUCAACUUGGAGUUUGGUUUUUUCCUAUCAUUUUUCGGUCUAUAUUGGAGUUUUUGUUCAAGUGGCAACUUGAUUUUCUCCCGUGAUAUUCUCCUUGUUUUAUACUAUGCUUUUCCCUUCUCCGUUUUUAAAUCCUUCUGGGGUUGGGAGAUGUCGGAGAUCAUGUAAGAUAACAACUGCAUCUGCGGGUUGUCGAAAUGUGUAACUAUCUCAUUUAAAAAUUUAAAUUGUUAGACAUAAUAUACUUUUAUUUACUUAAUUAUGUUUUUAACACGCCCCUUGCGUACGGGCUUGAUUCUGUUUUAUGACUCAAACAUGUGAAAUUACCUUUGAUAGUGGGUGACAGUGACUCAAAUUCAGGACCUCUAUCUGCUCUGAUAGCAUAUUGAAGAGUGUUAGCAUAUCAUCUAAAAACUUAAACUGUUAGACAAACAUAUUUUUGUUUACUUAAUUAUGUCUUUAACACGCCCCUCGCGUACGGGCUUUGAUUCUAUUUUAUGACUCCAGCAUGUGAAAUUACCUUUGCUAGUGGUUGAGAGUGUGACUCAAACCAGGACCAAAGCAUAUUGAAGAGGGUUAACAUCUCAUCUAACAGCUUAAAAUUUUGGAAAGCACACUUGUAUUGACUUAUUUAAUAUUAUCUUCAACAUUGGUUAUAAUUUGAAAGAGAAGUCGAAAAUGCACUAUCGAUCUACUAUGCUUUAUGUUGACGACUUAAAAUAAGGAAAUUAUUAUGACGUAGACGAAUAUUAACAUUCUUUUGACUAAGUAGAUAUUGGUUGCAAUAAGAAUAUCAGUGUUAUUAAAUAGUAUAAAUCUAUUUUGUCACGUAAAAUGUGUUCAAUUUGGUAAAAACUUGCAACCGUUCACUUUAGGCUAUUUGAGUGGAAGGUUGUGCCUGUGUAAUUGUAAGAUAAAAUUAAACAAAUUAAGAUUUGCAAUCAAUCUCUCUUUCUCUAUAUAUAGAGCAUAGACACACACACAUAUUUCCUCUCCUGAAAUAAGUGGUGGAAAGUAUUUUUCUUUACUUCUUCUAACUUAACUAAAAAAAAUUAAAUAGCUAUAAUACAUAGGUAUCUAUAAGUGUUCUUCUAAGAUGUACCUAGUCUAAUAUAUAUAUCAUAAUUUUAAUAUUUUAUACUCUUCUCUUUCCUUGGUUCAUGAAUAAAACCAUACAUUCAUUCUACAUUUUAAUUUUAUUCGGUUCGACUUUUCAAUUUUUCUUGUAUACACCUGUAUAGAUGAGUCGAAUUCUAAUACACUAUUUUCCAUGGGCCACUCCUACUUUUUGCUGGCCUAAUGUGUUAUGUCUUUCUUUUUGUUGGUUAAAAAGUUUUUCAGUCAAUGCUCUGAAUAGUGUCACUGUAUAUGUCAUGCUUAUCCAUACAAAAUAAGCUCAAAAUUAUCAGAAUAUAAAGUAUUAAUAUUUAAAUUUUUAGAGACACAAAGGUUCAAUCAAUUAUUUAAAGGCUCAAAAGAUAAAUUGGUGUCGAACUACAAAUGACAUGUACAAAGUAAGAACAAAAUUAAGGAGAAAAAGUAAUGAUCAGUAAUAUGUUGUGGUUCAGGAAAACUAAACCAAAGUAAGACAAAAGAAACAUGGUAAAGUAGAAUGGGAAGGACCAAAAGAAAAUGAUUAUGAACCUAUAAGGAACCUAAGGUCCUUAUCUUCUCAUAUUAUCUUCAAGAAAGUUGAUUGUGCAUAUAGUGCACUUUCGGUUUCAAUAAUGUGGUUUCUCUUCACUGCAGUUUCUCUAUCUAUUCUUCUGUUGAGAUGAGAGAAUAUACGUGACAUAGAUUUGUACAGAUUUGUAUAGACUUGUAUAUUCAUUGUAUACACAUUGUAUGUUUACUGUAUACUCAUGGUAUACUUUAUGCUGGGCGAGAAAGAAAAUAGAAAAAGGUAAAAAAGAAAAGAUUGUACUUGGUAUAGGGAUCAUGCCAAGUAUUAAUCAAUUUCUAUCAAUUCAUUUUAUGGGGGUUUUUUUUUUCUGAAAAGGAGAAAGGAGAAAGAAAGGAUAAAAAAAGAUUCCUCCGUAUUUGGGGAAAAAUCAUAAAUAGUAUGGUUUGCGAUUGUUAAUUGAAUAUUAGCCAUAAUUUUAAAAAUAAUCAAAAUUUAGUUAUUUUUUAAUGUAAAAAUACAAUCUGAACAACAAUAAUAACGACACAAUAAAAUCCCACAAGCGGGGUCUGGAGAGGAUAGUGUGUACGCAUACCUUACUCCUAUUACGAAUGAGUAAAGAGAUUGUUUCCAAAAGACCCUCGACUCAAGAUAAUAAAAAGACAAAAGGUGAGAAUAUUAGAUUUGCCACUGAGCUUAUAGGAAAAUAGAAACAUAAAAUGCAUUGAAAAAAAAUAACAAAGCAAAAACGAUGGCUAGUAAAUGAAUACUGUGUCAAAAAUAGAAAAUAGUAAGACACAACAUUGCCCCUAGCUAUCUUAGAUAAAACCCUACUGGACUAGGCUCACGAAGGUACAAAGUAACCCAAGACUCAACUAUCUCCUAGCCUACAACCAUAAUACUCGACCUCCACAACUUCCUAUCAAGUGUCAUGUCCUCUGAAAUCUGAAGUCAGGCUAUAUCCUGCCUGAUCACCUUUCCCCAAUACUUCGUAGGCCGCCCUCUACCUCUUCUCGUGCCUUCCACAACCAACUGCUCACAUCUCCUUACUGGAGCAUCCAUACUUCUCCUCUGUACAUGCUCGAACCAUCUGAGUAUCACUUCCUGCAUCUUGUCAUUAAUGGGAACAAGGUACAUCUUUUCCCGAAUAUCAUCAUUCAUAAUCUUAUCCAUCCUAGUAUGCUCGCACAUCCACCUCAACAUUAUUAUUUUGCUACUUUCAUCUUUUGGAUAUGUGAAUUCUUAACAGACUAAUACUCAGUGUCAUACAUCAUAGCUGGUCUAACUACCGCCUUUAGAAUAUACCUUUAAGUAUCGUUGACACUUUCUUGUCACACAAGACUCCAAAUACCAACCUUCACUCAUCCAUCGUACCCCAAUAUGGUGUGUGGCAUACUCGUCGAUCUCCCUUUCUGUGUGGAUAACCGAACCAAGGUACUUGAGGUUGUCUUUACUUGGGAUAACCUGCGACUCAUGCCUCAUAUCUACGUCUACUUCCCCCAGCUCAGCAUAGAACUUACACUCGAAGGAUUCCGUUUUUUCGUUCUACUUAGCUUGAAACACUUAGACUCAAUAGUCUGCCUCCAAACUUCCAAUCUCUCGUUAACUCCGACUCGUGACUCAUUAAUCAGAACUAUGUUAUCGACGAAUAGCAUGCACCAUGGCACCUCCCAUAGAAUACGACUUGUUAUUACAUCCAUCACUAAGGUGAAUAAGAACGCACUAAGCGCAGAGCCUUGGUGUAACCCCAUUUCAACUGAAAAAUGCUCAGAGUCGCCUCUUGUUGUCCUAACCCGAGUCUUAGCCCCAUUAUACAUGUCCUUAAUUGCCAUAAUAUAAGGAACCGACACACAUUUUUCCUGCAAGCAUCUCCAGAGAACUUUUCUAGGAACCUUAUCAUACUCUUUCUCUAGGUCAAUAAAUAUCAUGUGCAGAUCCUUCUUUCUCUCUGUACAGUUCCACCAACCUUCUAAAAUAUGAACAAAACACCCUUAAAAAUCGAAAAAAAUUCUAACAUAAUAUAAUGAAAUUUAUAAUGUGCUUACGCUGGAACUUUUUGUGUUUCAUCUAGGAUAUUUUUUCCCAAAUUUUAUUUUCAUUUAAAAUAAUGAAUAUCUUUUAAUGACGUUUUAAUUUUUGACUAUUUUGUAAUUAUUAUUUCAAAAACGGACUAGCCAUGCAAUUUUUAUUAGUAUGUAGCGUAUGGAGAGCUAGUUAUUAUAGCUAACCAUCAUAUCAAUGGAUAAUCUCUAUGUUCCAACUUUAGUUGUUUAACCUUUUCGCCUAACACGAGACGAUAUUAUCGCUCAAAUUGAUGAAUUUUUAGAUAAAAAAUACCCGUUAACUUUGUCUACUUAAGUCAAGUUAGAGCGACUAAUUUUAAAAAGUGGAAUCAUAAUUAAAUAUUAAAAAGAGCACUACUUUUAUAGAGAGAAUCAAAGAAAUAAUAAAUGAAAUGACAUUGCGAAUACAAGAUACUUGAUCGUGGUUGAAUGAGAAGUUUAUCAUAAAGAUGUAUAUUAUACAUUUAUUAGUUUAAUACAAAUAUUGUGUAUGUACAUAUUAAGAAUAUUCUGGUUAACUUUCCUAUAUGAACAGAUUCUGGAAUAUUUUGUAAAGGGACCUGAAAGUAUUUGUUAAUAAUGAAGGUGGUAGAUCCUUCCUUUUAGGAAUUUUUAUUUUAUAUAGCAAAAUAUUAAUUGAUAUUUUAUUUAUUUUGAAUAAAUAUUUUUUUUUAAAAAAUUAUAUUUUAUAGUUAUUUUAACUUUUAUAGUUAAAUAUUUAUUUAUAGUCACCUUCUAUUCUUAAGUUAUAAAAUAGCUUUAUAUUAUUUUUCUCUCUAUUCUUUUAAAUUUUUCACCGUCCUCUCUCUUUAUCAACACCAGCUCUCACACAGCAGAAAAUUGAAACAUCGCCAUAAAAGAAAUCGAAGAAGCACCAAAAGGUUCAUCACUAUUUCUUUCAUUUUAUAUUUUUCCCCAACUUUUCUUUCUGUCAAGAUUUAGGUGAAGCCACGAUUUUCUAUAUCAAGAUCAAGAUUUAGCGGUUGAAGAGUAUGUUUAGAAAUCGAUGUCUUAUGUUUAGUAUCAAUUCCAAAAUCUGACAUAGGAAAAUUGGGGCUCAUAAUAGAGAUUCGAAAUUUGCUAUUGACGAGAUGAUAUUGGAGUUAUUUUUGAACAAAGAUAACUGAGUUUGGACCUGAGCAACUUGAAGAGUUUGUUAUUUUUUUUAUUGUAUUUCAAUGUAUCUCGUUAUAUUGUAUGUAUUUUAUUUUAUUCAUUGUUUUCUUUUUUUAUUGUAUUUCAAUGUAUCUCGUUGUACUCCAUAUAUUUCAUUGUAUUUACUAUCUCGCUAUAUUCCACUAAUGUAUUCAUAUAUUUUUUUAAUUUAUGUAUUUUAUGUAUUCAGAUUUAUAGUUGUGCUUGUUAAAUUAGGAGUCUAUUGUAUUAAUUGAUUCAUUUUCCAUUUAAAAACAGCUGAACAGACCAUAAAUUGCGUAUUUGCGUUACUAUAUUUAUGAAUAAACUAGCUU
rnacentral:lncRNA from 1 species